AAGUCUGCGCAGUGGCAGUAUCGUAGCCAAUGAGGUUAAUCUGAGGUGCGAUUUUUGCUAAUUAUUGCUAGUAUGUAAGUCUGCACAGAAGUCUCAGAAUAAAUGGCUGGAUGCAUAAUACAGAGCCACUUUUUUCCAGGAGACAAUAUG
rnacentral:snRNA from 14 species